rnacentral:misc_RNA from 1 species
AUCAUUUGCCGCGUAUAGGGUGCCAAUAAGCCCUAGCUUAUUUUAUGGGUUGAGGCAAUCCACUCUUAUUCAAUGGUCGCCUUGUAGAAGGUUGAUCUUGGGUGGCAGGAACCGGUACUAUUACCGAGUCCCUGCUUAUGGACUUGAUGAUGAUUGUUAUGAGGUUUCUUGCUCUUUUAAGAAGAAAAGUGGCGGGGAAAGAAUUGAGAGGAGAAGGAAGGGAAGGGUUGGGCACAUAAAUUUGCGUGAAAGGCGGCGUUUGAGUAGUGUUGAUGAUGCUGAGGCUGUGAUCAGCUUGUUGAGUGAGGAGGUGACUGAGUGUUUAGGUGAGAGACUUCAAAAAGGGAGUUAUUCAAAGAGAGUGGAACUGGAAAAGAGAAGUAAUCAUGGUGGUGAAUUUCAGCCGCAGAGGAGAAAGAAUGGUAGGUUGGGUUUAUUGGAGAGCGAUUCCAAGAGCCAGUUUGAGUUGGAUACCGAUGAGUUGAGGAGGGAAGGGUAUAGAAAGGAGGAGAGUGAAGAGUGUAGAAGGAAGAGAGAUACAGAGGAGUUUAGAAAGAAGGAAGACAGGGAAGAUUUUAGAAGGAAAGAAGAAAGGGAGGGGAAGGAAGAAAGGAAAAUUGUUCCAAGAGUUAAGAAUCGCAGGGAAAGGAAAGCUAAUUCUAGCUUUUCAUCUUAUUACUCGCUUUCUUCCACUGGAGGUAGUGAGAGUGAUAAGGAAACUCAAAAUGAGCAUGUUGGUUCUCUGGAAGAAUCAUCAAGUACAUAUAAGAAAGAACUAUGGAGUGAAGAGAAUACAUUUGAGGGGCAAGUGGUGGAAGAGUUUAAAAGGCAUGGAGAAGAUGGGGGCCAAGGAAAAGUUUUGGAGCAGGGAACUGGUACGAGAAGUGCUGGUGCUGUCUGGGAUUUGAGAAAGAAAUCUGAGAAGCAACUUACUGAGAUUGAUGAAAUGCAGUCCAGAGAGGAAUCCUCGCAAUUGUACUCAAGAAUGGCAAGGACCAGUGCAAGUGAUCAUGAGAAGGUGUCAAAUUCUCAUAAACAAAUUGAUAAUGAGAAUGAGAAAUUAACUUUGGCAGUCAAUUUGGAGAAAGGAACAAGAAAGCAAUAUAAUCAGACAGGUGACUUGGUCACAGAACAGCCUCAAUUCAGAAGAAAAUACCAGGAAAUUACUCAUAUGGAGGAUAUCCAAGGAAAAAAUGGAAAAUCAACCUCCCAAUACCAAAGGCAGUUCAAUGUUAGAGAAGAAAACCUGACAGCAGAUGCAGAUUUGGUUGGGGAAAGAAUGGGCGAAAAUUGCAGUACAGUUGGUCAAAGUGCUGGAAACAGUAACAUAAGAAGAAAUAACACUGCUAUGUCAGAAAUUGGAAAUGUUGAUACCGAAAGAGUUUCUAAUUUGCAGAGGCAAUAUGAGUCUAGAAUGAAGAUCCACGAAGAAGAUAGCGCUUUGAGGUCGGUAUGGGAGACAAAUGAGAAAUGCCAGCAAACAUUUGAACAGAUAACUGGACAAACUGAGUCAAGAAGAGAUUCACAAUGGCUGUCUGAAAGAUCAGAAAUUCAAGAUAGUACU